CUUUACCUGGCUACAUUGACAUUCAUCGCUUAUUAAACAAGUACAAAGAAUCUCUAGGUGGGGAUUAUACCACCCAUCCACUAACAUCGAGCAGUAUAGUCUGCCCUACAUACUGUGAGUUCAUUUCAUAUACUUUAUAUUCUUUCACUCAAGAUACAGUGAGCACUAUUUUAUUCCUUUUAAUUUUUGGUUGGAUCGCACCCAUAUUGAUCUACUGAACCAUCCUAUACACCUGUUAACCAGCAUCACUUCACAUAUCCUUUAGUAAUCAUUCCACUCCCUGCACCCUAAACCAGAGCUGGAUAUUAGCUCUGUAGAUUGUGAGUAGUACUGAUUACUACUUUGUUUUCUAUUCUGCCUACAUACUGUACCAUUGGAGUUUGUGUUCUUUCUCCCCAUUUCAAGUGAAGAGCUUUUCCAUCUUAUUGUAUUGCCAGAGUCCUCCCUAUAAAUAUGGAUUGCAUCAUUCUGGAUUUAUGAUAAGUCAUUUGGACUAUUACUUCUACCAUUUGUUUUGAGCCGUGUCAUCUAUUGAGACAUGGACUAUUAUUGUAGGGGCCCCACACAGUCCUAUAGACCUUUAUAUCUAUUUAUGACAUUUAUUGAUUAUGUUUCAGUGUGAUUGCACAUUAUCCAAUGUAUUUUAAGGAUAGAUUAAUUUUGUCUAUUUACGAUAUACCUUUUUGAUGCACACUUUUAUUGGACUAUUUUAAUACUUUAUAGGUUUAAUAGUCAUUUCUAUAGAUGGUAUAUUGUAUAUUUGCAUUGAUUGUAUAUUCGCUAUAUCAUACGUCAUACUAUUUGCUUUUUGAUCCUCACUGCUUGAGUGUAAAUUCAGAUUGGUGGUGAAAUCUGACACUGACCCUUCACCUUGCUUCCUUGAGCCUCUGGCAAAGAUAUCGCCACUGAGAGAGGGGUAUUUUAUAUACACCCCUAUAUACUAUUAACCCUUAAUAGGUGAGGAGUAAUUACCACCCCACCAACUGAGGAAAUAGCCCAUUUAAUCUAUGCACAUUUGAC